rnacentral:rRNA from 1 species
GACGGAGGAUGCGAGCGUUGUCCGGAUUUAUUGGGCGUAAAGAGUUCGUAGGUGGUUUGUUAAGUUUGGUGUUAAAGAUCGGGGCUCAACCCGGGGACUGCACUGAAUACUGGCAGACUAGAGUGUUGUAGAGGCUAGUGGAAUUCCCAGUGUAGCGGUGAAAUGCGUAGAUAUUUGGAAGAACACCGGUGGCGUAGGCGACUGCCUGGGACAUAACUGACGCUGAGGAACGAAAGCGAGGGGAGCGAAUGGG